AGGGCUCAACCCUGAGCCGGCUUCCGAUACGGGCAAACUAGAGGAAUGCAGGGGAGAAUGGAAUUCCUGGUGGAGCGGUGGAAUGCGCAGAUAUCAGGAGGAACACCGGUGGCGAAGGCGGUUCCCUGGGCGUUUCCUGACGCUGAGAAGCGAAAGCGUGGGGAGCAAACAGGCUUAGAUACCCUGGUAGUCCACGCCGUAAACGGUGGGCACUAGGUGUGGGGAACAUUCCACGUUCUCCGUGCCGAAGCUAACGCAUUAAGUGCCCCGCCUGGGGAGUACGGCCGCAAGGCUAAAACUCAAAGGAAUUGACGGGGGCCCGCACAAGCGGCGGAGCAUGCGGAUUAAUUCGAUGCAACGCGAAGAACCUUACCUGGGUUUGACAUAUGCCGGAAAGCUGCAAAGAUGUAGCCCCCGCAAGGUCGGUAUACAGGUGGUGCAUGGCUGUCGUCAGCUCGUGUCGUGAGAUGUUGGGUUAAGUCCCGCAACGAGCGCAACCCUCGUCCUAUGUUGCCAGCGGAUAAUGCCGGGGACUCAUAGGAGACUGCCGGGGUCAACUCGGAGGAAGGUGGGGAUGACGUCAAGUCAUCAUGCCCCUUAAGUCCAGGGCUUCACGCAUGCUACAAUGGCUGGUACAAAGGGCUGCGAAACCGCAAGGUCGAGCGAAUCCCAAAAAGCCAGUCUCAGUUCGGAUUGGGGUCUGCAACUCGACCCCAUGAAGUCGGAGUCGCUAGUAAUCGCAGAUCAGCAACGCUGCGGUGAAUACGUUCCCGGGCCUUGUACACACCGCCCGUCAAGUCAUGAAAGUCGGUAACACCCGAAGCCGGUGGCCCAACCCUUGUGGAGGGAGCCGUCGAAGGUGGGACUGGCGAUUAGGACUAAGUCGUAACAAGGUAAC
rnacentral:rRNA from 1 species